rnacentral:rRNA from 1 species
UAAUACGAGGGGAGCAAGCGUUGUCCGGAUUUAUUGGGCGUAAAGGGCGUGUAGGCGGAUCGGCAAGUCAGGUUUUAAAUAGUACGGCUCAACCGUAUCAAUGGGUCUGAUACUGUCGGUCUUGAGUUCGAGAGAGGGAAGCGGAAUUCCUGGUGUAGCGGUGAAAUGCCAUGAUAUCAGGAGGAACACCGGCGGCGAAGGCGGCUUCCUGGCUCGACACUGACGCUGAGGCGCGAAAGCGUGGGUAGCGAACAGGAUUAGAUACCCUGGUAGUCCACGCCGUAAACGAUGGAUACUAGGCGUCGGGAGACUUUUGACCCUCUCGGUGCCGAAGCUAACGCAUUAAGUAUCCCGCCUGGGGAGUACGACCGCAAGGUUG